GACCGAUGUGCUGGUGGUGGGGGCGCUGGGGCUGCAGGGCACCGGGAAAUCCACCGUGCUGUCCCUGCUGGCGGGAAACCAGCCCGACGACGACCCGCGCACGUACGUCUUCCGGCCCGCGCCCCCGGAACUACGUCAGCGCGGCGCGGCCCAGACGGGCGGGAUCGACCUGUUCGUGACGCAGGAGCGGGUGGUGCUGCUGGACACGCAGCCCAUCCUGAGCCCCGCCCUCCUGGACCAUCUAAUUAACAACGACCGCAAAUUACCCCCCGAGUACGGGCUGCCCCACAGCUACGUGGAGA
rnacentral:lncRNA from 1 species